rnacentral:lncRNA from 1 species
UCCUUGAUGAUCUUUGAGGAAUCGAUCUUCGCCUUUGAUCGAGUAGAACGGCCAGUCUUUGUAGUUUGUGAUGAUUCAGACAUGUUUGAAUGAAGGUUUUUGAAGUUUGAGAAGUUGAAUGGGUGAAGGUUGUGGUGAGAAGCAGUUGAAUAGGGUUCACGAUCAAAAAUUAGGUUUUUAAUGAAAGUGUAUUGAUUGCGUGUACAGACACAUUUAAGGGAAGUUUGUAAUGAUUUCCNNNNNNNNUUCCCUAAAUUAGCGUGCAUUAAUUGAUAGGAGAGAAAACGGUUUCCUUUUGCACGCCUCAACUGCUGUAACUGCUAUGCAUCUUCAUGCAGGCAAAUUCCCAAUUUGCCCCUUAAAAAUUCAAAUUGAUU